rnacentral:lncRNA from 1 species
CGUAACAGAUGCAAAGACGAAGAAAUAGAAUUUGAGUUACUCCAGCUGUCAUGCGGUAUGACCACUUGGGUGUCUGUGUUUAAAAUUUUCAACAGCCAAGAUAAUUGAAAGCCACCAGAAUCCAGCCUGAAUGAAAACAGACAUGGAUGAUGUCGUGACUUUCUGGGUCGGACUUCCCAGACUCACACCACAUCUCCACCCUUCCUGCACCUCAAGAUUUACCAUGUUUCCAUGUGAGAAAGAGACCAGAUCUCAUGUCAUCAGCGCUCAUUCCAUGACCCGCCCCUGCUAAGCAAACAGAGGAUUUUCAUAACCUACCAUGUUCUGUCUGCUUUAUGACAGUUCCUAAGACUUCCUAUGGAUGUGACACAAAGUCCACCACUGUCUGAGUCCUUUGUUCAAAAUGCCAAGCUAGCGCCUUGGGCAUCACCGAAUACAGACAGAGCCUCAAGAGUAAACAUCCAGGUUGGAAUUCCCUGAC